AUUUUUGUUCGAUUUUUAUGUGCUGUGUCGCUCAUCAACUGGAUGUGAAAUGGAUUUGUAGCUCAUAUCACAGCCAGCUUUGAUGAGCGCUACAACAUCUAAUAGACACCAUUUUCACA
rnacentral:precursor_RNA from 15 species